rnacentral:rRNA from 1 species
UCUUCCGCAAUGGACGAAAGUCUGACGGAGCAACGCCGCGUGAGUGAUGAAGGUUUUCGGAGCGUAAAACUCUGUUGUUAGGGAAGAACAAGUACCGUUCGAAUAGGGCGUUACCUUGAUGGUACCUAACCAGAAAGCCACGGCUAAGUACGUGCCCGCAGCCGCGGUAAUACGUAGGUGGCAAGCGUUGUCCGGAAUUAUUGGGCGUAAAGCGCGGGCAGGCGGUUUCUUAAGUAUGAUGGGAAAGCCCCCGGCUCAACCGGGGAGGGUCAUUGGAAACUGGGGAACUUGAGUGCAGAAGAGGAGAGUGGAAUUCCACGUGUAGCGGUGAAAUGCGUAGAGAUGUGGAGGAACACCAGUGGCGAAGGCGACUCUCUGGUCUGUAACUGACGCUGAGGCGCGAAAGCGUGGGGAGCGAACAG